rnacentral:lncRNA from 1 species
CAGAUAAUAACUCAGCAUUUUUUUUCUUGCUCUGUCACCCAGGCUGGAGUGCAGCAGUGCAAUCUCAGUUCACUACAACCUCUGCCUCCCAGGUUCAAGAGAUCCUCCCACCUCAACCUCUUGAGUAGCUGGGACUACCAGGACUGUAUGUGCUUUCAUCUCCAUCU